rnacentral:rRNA from 1 species
UACGUAGGGUGCAAGCGUUGUCCGGAAUUAUUGGGCGUAAAGAGCUCGUAGGCGGUCUGUUGCGUCGGCUGUGAAAACCCGGGGCUCAACUCCGGGCCUGCAGCCGAUACGGGCAGACUAGAGUUCGGCAGGGGAGACUGGAAUUCCUGGUGUAGAGGUGAAAUGCGCAGAUAUCAGGAGGAACACCGGUGGCGAAGGCGGGUCUCUGGGCCGAUACUGACGCUGAGGAGCGAAAGCGUGGGGAGCAAACAGG